AUUGAACGCUGGCGGCAGGCCUAACACAUGCAAGUCGAACGGUAACAGGAAACAGCUUGCUGUUUCGCUGACGAGUGGCGGACGGGUGAGUAAUGUCUGGGAAACUGCCUGAUGGAGGGGGAUAACUACUGGAAACGGUAGCUAAUACCGCAUAACGUCGCAAGACCAAAGAGGGGGACCCUCGGGCCUCUUGCCAUCGGAUGUGCCCAGAUGGGAUUAGCUUGUUGGUGGGGUAACGGCUCACCAAGGCGACGAUCCCUAGCUGGUCUGAGAGGAUGACCAGCCACACUGGAACUGAGACACGGUCCAGACUCCUACGGGAGGCAGCAGUGGGGAAUAUGGCACAAUGGGCGCAAGCCUGAUGCAGCCAUGCCGCGUGUAUGAAGAAGGCCUGCGGGUUGUAAAGUACUUUCAGCGGGGAGGAAGGGAGUAAAGUUAAUACCUGUGCUCAUUGACGUUACCCGCAGAAGAAGCACCGGCUAACUCCGU
rnacentral:rRNA from 1 species